ACACACAAAAAAAAAAAAGUAAACAUCCCCUCAACUUGCAUGCGCAGAUUCAAAUAAAAAAGUACCAAAGGAAAAAUGCCAUGACUUGAGGAGGAAAUGGAUAAAUAAUUUCAUUCAAAAUACAGUGAACAGGUGCUCAACCAAAGUAUUUAUCUGAUUCUAAUGUAUAGAAAACUCAAAACGUUAAACACAUUGCUCCUCUUUUCUCUUUUGAAAACCCUCAUUAGCUUCAGAAAAAGGACCCAAACUACCCCAAGAUAACACAAUUUUACAAAUGAGAGAAAAUGCCAAUUUUCUUUGUUGAUAAUGAUUAAUGACGGUUAAGUAUUGCCAAACACAAGAAGAUAAAAAUGUUAUUUGUCUUAUUCAAAAGUUUUCAUGAAAUUAGUUAUAAAAAAGUGUCCAAAACAUAAAUAUUACUCUGUCUAGUUUGAACUGCACAAUUUAAUUACUAUUAAUUCAAACAGUGUUGUUUAUACCAUAUAACAAAAAGAAAAUAGGCAGAGUAAUGAAAAGCAAACCUAAUAGUUAUAGACAGCAUUUCAGAAACAAUACAACAAAUGAGAAGUUUAACCAAAGAAUCAACAAUAUAACAAAUGGAAUCAUCAAAAGUCACAUCCCCAAAUUUUCCAAAAAUUCUUGAUAUAAAAGCUGA
rnacentral:misc_RNA from 1 species